rnacentral:lncRNA from 10 species
ACAAGUCUCUAGGAAGUUCCAAGCUUUCCCUCAUCUUCCUGUCUUCUUCUGAUCCCUCCAAACUUUUGAACCUCUGCCCAUUACCCAGUUCCAAAGUCACUUCCACAUUUUCAGGUAUCUUUAUAGCAAUGCCCCACUUCUCUGGUACCAAUUUUCUGUAUUAGUUUGUUCUCACACCACUAUAAAGACAUACCUGAGACUGGGUAAUUUAUGGAGAAAAGAGGUUUAAUUGACUCACAGUUCAGCAGGCUGUACAAGAGGCUUGGCUGGGGAGGCAUCAGGAAACUCACAAUCACAGUGGAAAGCAAAGGAGAAGCAGGCAUAAUUGUCACAUGGAAGAGCAGAGAGAGAGAGAGCAAAGGGGAAAGUGCUACACACUUUUUUUAUUUUUAUUUUUUGAGACAGAGUCUCUCUUUGUUGCCAGGCUGGAGUGCAAUGGCAUGAUCUUGGCUCACUGCAACCUCCGACUCCCUGGUUAAAGCAAUUCUCCUGCCUCAGCGUCCCGACACAGCUUUAUCUCCAGCAUAGCUCCAUCUCUUCAGAUUCAGAACCGUAUCUCUCUCUACCUAUUGUUCCAAUCCACUUGAAGGUUUCUCAAAUACUUCAAGAACAUCUUCAAAACUGAAUGAAGCUGCUCUUGGCUGCAAGUCUUGCUGCUUGGGAGAAAUUGCAGCUGUAGCAGCUCUCCUCCGGCCCCAGGCUUGUGAUAGGAAAGAACACAAUUCAAAAACCUACUGCUGGGACACUUUCCACACUCCUGGUUGUGGAAGCCCCUAUGCUGCUCCAUAGCAGGCGCUCCAAUCUCUGGCCUGAGAUUAAAAUGCCUGCAUGACCAUGCUGUUGGGUCAGCUAAGAGUGGCUGAAUUUGUAUGUUCCCAAAUUAAAAAUGGCAUCCUCUCAGUCCCAGGUCUGGGAAAAGACCAUGUCUUUCUCUCACAGCAUCUCCAAGUCUCUCCCCAAGUUAGCUCCAGGGCCUGGGAGAAACAAAGU